GUCUUGCAAAUAAAAACAGUCAGAUAAAAAUAAAAAGCCAUGCAGUGAACCUCCCCUUUAAUCAAACUGUUGCCCCGCCUUACUUUUGCCUACUUUUGCAUUACUGCGCUUACGCGAUCAACUUAUUUCCUACGACACCGGCACACACCAAUACAGGAAAUGUCAGCUUUCGCUGUAGAAGAUGUUAAAAUAUGUUUGUGAAGCACUUGUCUACAGACCAGUAAAUACGUUGGGAGCACUUGUCUACAGACCAGUAAAUACGUUGGAAGCACUUGUCUGUCCAAACGUUUGACUGUCACGGUCAAGCUUUAAAGUCGAACUCGGCUGUACCUGUGACAGUAGGAGGGGUCAGCACAGAACGAGUUAUAGUUGAUCCACAUAUUACAGCAAUUUUGGGAAAAAAGAUUGAGCUGAUGUGUGUGGUUCACAUUCGAGACACACUGACGCAGAUUUCUUGGGAGAAAGUUCACAAUGGAGGUACACCAACACUUGCUGUUUUUAAUCUGACAUACGGAAUCUCUAUUCCUGAGGAAUAUCGGGAUAAGCUUUCAUUCAAAAGCCCCUCUGUGAAUGAUGCAGCCCUAAUACUGGAAGAAGUGGGCUUUACUGAUGCUGGAGAAUACACGUGCAAGGUGAUGUCCUUCCCUUAUGGGAACACACAAGCAUGGACCACUGUUACUGUAAUGGAUCCUCCUCCUACUACCACCUUACCUACAACACCACCGCCUCACACGACUGCUGGCAUCACAAGUUUAGCAGCGACAAAAAGAGCACUGUUCACAUCACCAACACUGGAGUCGUUGCACGAGGGACCUUCAGGCACUAUAAUUGGUGGUGCUGUUGGCGGUGCCCUAUUUCUAAUACUGGUGAUCAUCCUUGUUGGAGUUUGCUACAUGAAAAAACGAAGGACAUGCCGUGGAGACUAUUACACCAUGCAGUACAAAGAACCAUCUGACAUGCAGAAAGAAUCUCUGUUAGAUAUUCUGCAACCUCAUGAGCUUCAACAAUACAACGACCCCAACAAUGAUAGUCUUUAAGCAAAAGACAAAUGAGGUGAUCUACCCAGAUUACUCCAAAGAAAAAUAAUGAAUGGGGCCAUGUGGAAAAUAUGAACAACAGAUGCACAGAAGGAGAUACACUGCCAGUCGAUUAUUAUGAAGAUAGAAUGCCAGGUGGAACCAAAUAUACUCAAGAUGACUAUUAUGAAGGAAACGAUGGCGACUUUGUAUCUCACUUAGAUGGUUCAGUAAUUUCUCGAAGAGAAUGGUAUGUGUAGGAACAUAGGAAAGAGACGAUCCAAACUUCACACAAAAUCUCAAAUGUCUUUAGCUUCAUUGCCUUUAAAAAAUAGGCCUACAUUUAAAAAAAAAAAUAUAUAUAUAUAUGAUUUUCACUUUGUUGGAUAUACGUAUGUAGUGAAUUAGUUUCUGGAUCUUUACAAAAUAAAAGACAAGAAGCAAUGACAUUGUAUUGGUAAUUGUAUUUAGCUUUAUUUGGGAAAGCUGCAUAAGGGCAGUGUUACCCUUCUUAAUCUCAAGUAUAGUAGAAGCUGGAGUUAUCUAAAUUGCCUAAAUUUUAGCUCUUGUUUAUAUGCCAUAAGCAGUUAUUCAGCUGAUGGCUCUGUUUGCGUGCCUGGCAUUUUAAAUCCACAUCUAUCGUUCUGUGUGGAAAGCAUCUUUUUUGAAUUUAUUUUGUUUUUUUACAUUAGUUAGAGUUUCAGAUAUUUAUUUUAUUUUUCUCCAUACAGUUCUGAAUUAAAUACUUCCUGUAAGACAGUAUCUCAAAUACUUUAAAAUUCAAAACAUAUAUUGGAUUCAGGUAUGUUACUUUAUGUAAGGUGAAAUAGGAAGGAGAAAAAACGUGUAUGUAUGAGUUCAUAGUUUACAUUAUUUAAAACGUAUUUGCCAUUUGUUAUGGCACGGUUUGUAUUUAGGAAGCUUUUAUUUGUUUUGGAGUGUGUUCUGUGCAUCCAUGGGGGUGGAAGUUUAGUUUACUUGCAGUAUUUUCUUUAGUAGCCGAAGGAUAAAGAUCAUAAAGUGUAAGUGUGGCAAAGUGGCAAUUAGUAGAGCAGGCGAAGUGCAGGUGCAGUAAUCCAACAAGAAAAGACAGACAACAAAGUACGGGUGAAAUGGUUUCUGUUUUAUUGUAAUCCAAAUGGUCUGAUGACCAAAACAGUAAACAAUUAGAGAGAUGGCAACAGCGAUGUCGAAUGCGCAGUGGAGAAUUAUGGGAUGCAGUCCCGUAAAUAAUAAUAAACAACAGUCCAGUAUAUACACACACAGUCAUUAGUCCAAACUGAGUGCUGUAGUGCUCGCUGUGAAGUACAAUUUAUCUGUGAUACAAGGUGCAAGAUAGAUAGAUAGAUAGAUAGAUAGAGGCACGGGUACCCAUGGGGUUUUGAGAAGAAAACAACAACAGCACACAAUAUUUAU